GUGGGGAAUAUUGCACAAUGGGCGAAAGCCUGAUGCAGCAACGCCGCGUGAGCGAUGAAGGUCUUCGGAUCGUAAAGCUCUGUCCUCAAGGAAGAAUUUUGACGGUACUUGAGGAGGAAGCCCCGGCUAACUACGUGCCAGCAGCCGCGGUAAUACGUAGGGGGCUAGCGUUAUCCGGAAUUAUUGGGCGUAAAGGGUGCGUAGGCGGUCCUACAAGUCAGAGGUGAAAGGCUACGGCUCAACCGUAGUAAGCCUUUGAAACUGUAGGACUUGAGUGCAGGAGAGGAGAGUGGAAUUCCCAGUGUAGCGGUGAAAUGCGUAGAUAUUGGGAGGAACACCAGUUGCGAAGGCGGCUCUCUGGACUGUAACUGACGCUGAGGCACGAAAGCGUGGGGAGCGAACAGGAUUAGAAACCCCAGUAGUCC
rnacentral:rRNA from 1 species